GCCCGCGUGGCUCAGGGGUAGAGCGUCUCACUCGUAGCCACGCAAUGAGAAGGUCGAUAGUUCGAAUCUGUUCGUGGGCA